rnacentral:miRNA from 1 species
CAAGCUCGCCUCUGUGGGUCUC